rnacentral:misc_RNA from 2 species
CCCAACUAUCCCUAUUAAUCAUUACGGCGGUUCUAGAAACCAACAAAAUAGCCCCACGCGUCCUAUUUCAUUAUUCCAUGCUAAUGUAUCCGAGCAUGCGCCUGCUUUGAACACUCUAAUUUUUUCAAGGUAAUGGUCCUGGUUCCCCGACACACCCAACAAAGGACAUGCCGACUCACCAGAAGGAUAGGCCCGGCGUCGGAACAGUGCUCACCCGGAGGGCGGACCGCCCGGCCAGACCCAAAAUUCAACUACGAGCUUUUUAACUGCAACAACUUUAAUAUACGCUAUUGGAGCUGGAAUUACCGCGGCUGCUGGCACCAGACUUGCCCUCCAA